UACGGAGGGGGCGAGCGUUAUUCGGAAUUAUUGGGCGUAAAGGGCGCGUAGGCGGCUUGAUAAGUCAAAGGUGAAAUCCCUCGGCUCAACUGAGGAACUGCCUUUGAAACUGUCUGGCUUGAGGCCGGGAGGGGGUAGCGGAAUUCCCAGUGUAGCGGUGAAAUGCGUAGAUACUGGGAGGAACACCGGUGGCGAAGGCGGCUCUCUGGAACGCAACUGACGCUGAGACGCGAAAAGCGUGGGGAGCAAACAGG
rnacentral:rRNA from 1 species